rnacentral:tRNA from 1 species
GCAUCGGUGGUUCAGAAGUACAAUUUUUGCCUUCCAUGCAGGAGAUUUGGGUCAAUUCCUGACCAAUGUA